GACGAACGCUGGCGGCGUGCUUAACACAUGCAAGUCGAACGGAAAGGCCCUGCUUUUGUGGGGUGCUCGAGUGGCGAACGGGUGAGUAACACGUGUGUAACCUGCCCUUGAUUUUGGGAUAACUUCAGGAAACUGGGGCUAAUACCGGAUAGGAGCUCCUGCUGCAUGGUGGGGGUUGGAAAGUUUCGGCGGUUGGGGAUGGACUCGCGGCUUAUCAGCUUGUUGGUGGGGUAGUGGCUUACCAAGGCUUUGGCGGGUAGCCGGCCUGAGAGGGUGACCGGCCACAUGGGGCCUGAGAUACGGCCCAGACUCCUACGUUAGGCAGCAGUGGGGAAUAUUGUACAAUGGGCGGAAGCCUGAUGAAGCGACGUUGCGUGCGUGAUGACGGCCUUCGGGUUAUAAACCGCUUUCGCCUGAGACGAAGCGUUAGUGACGGUAAUGGGUAAAGAAGCACCGGCUAACUACGUG
rnacentral:rRNA from 1 species